AUGGUGAAAUUGAAGCUCAGAAAGAUGCUCAAGGUCACACAGCCAGGGAGUGACAAUCUGGCUCUAGCACCUGUUACCUACCCUCUACUCUACUCUCAAAAGUCAGGGUUAACUACAGCUUCCAGGCUAAGAGAAGCCUGUUUCUGUGAAGAGGAGAGCAUGAAAUAUGUGGAAUAUCGUGCUGAGACCUUUAUCACAAGACAGAACCCAGAGGAUUCAGACAGACGAAGAAGUCAGGAAGCUUGCAUGUCAUAUCCUGCUGGAGGCACAAAAACCACAAGACUGAUGGUCCCAAGGAGAACUUAAUUGAGACGACUGGAGAAACAGAAACAGCAAGAGGAGGAAAGAAUGAGAACCCUUGGUCACGAACAGGAGAAUGUUUUUGAGGAUUUGGAAACUGGGGAGCAUGAGACUUUCUCUUGGGAGAGUUGAAACAGGGGUAACAUAAAUUGACAUACAAAGAACAUUCAGCCUAAGUGAGAAGAAACAAAUCUCGAUUUAUGUCAAUCAUUGGCAUAUAAUAUAAAGACCAGUCUAGCAGCUACUUUUUACCCUUACAACAUGUCAUCGUGCCUUCAGCUUUUUCCUGCUCUUUAAGGCAGACUCCUUUCAUGUGCUAGCUGUAUCUGAAAGGCAACAGUGAACAGAAAGCAAAAUUAACCCAGUAUAUCACAAACCAAGGAACGAUGACAACAAAGAAGGUAGCUGCUAUACUGCUGGAAGACUGCAAGGGCGUCUUCAGGUAAGAUCAGUGCAUCCUGAACUACUUUGUAGCCUUCAUCCAAAUCCUGUCCAAAAAGGAAGCUUCAGUACCUUCUGUUUUCAUGUAUCAGGCUUGAUAAGUGUGUUUUGUCAAUUAUUAUCAAUGGCUGACCUUGACAUUAGAAAAUGUUGUUUUUCAAGCCGAAGAGAACCUGCAAAGCCCCUUCUUUGUUG
rnacentral:lncRNA from 10 species